rnacentral:rRNA from 1 species
CCGGGAAACCGGAGACUAAUACCGGAUAAUAUAUUGAACCGCAUGGUACAAUAGUGAAAGACGGUUUUGCUGUCACUUAUAGAUGGAUCCGCGCCGCAUUAGCUAGUUGGUAAGGUAACGGCUUACCAAGGCGACGAUGCGUAGCCGACCUGAGAGGGUGAUCGGCCACACUGGAACUGAGACACGGUCCAG